GAUGAAGAACGUAGCGAAAUGCGAUAAGUAAUGUGAAUUGCAGAAUUCAGUGAAUCAUCGAAUCUUUGAACGCACAUUGCGCCCGCCAGCAUUCUGGCGGGCAUGCCUGUUCGAGCGUCAUUUCAACCCUCGAGCCCCCCCGGGGGCCUCGGUGUUGGGGGACGGCACACCAGCCGCCCCCGAAAUGCAGUGGCGACCCCGCCGCAGCCUCCCCUGCGUAGUAGCACACACCUCGCACCGGAGCGCGGAGGCGGUCACGCCAUAAAACGCCCAACUUUCUUAGAGUUGACCUCGGAUCAGGUAGGAAUACCCGCUGAACUUAAGCAUAUCAAUAAGCGGAGGA
rnacentral:misc_RNA from 1 species